GGCGGGGCGUAGCGCUCGGUCCGGGACUUCCUCCUGCGGCCGGGCGCGACCCAGGGCUCCUCCGGGUCGGGCCGCCGAUCGCUGACCCGCCGCUGCCCUGCCCGGCCCCGGAAACUUUAUCAGAGAGCAGCAGCCGCUAGCCCGUCCGUCCAGAGACUGCGCCGGCGACCCGGAUGGAGCGGGCGGGGAAAGGCCGGAGGCGAGCAGGGCGGAGAGCGCGAGGGGCGGAGAGUUGAGGGAGAGGCCGGGCGGGAGCGGGGGAAAGGGGGAGGGCCCGCGGGGGAGGGGCUGGCCGGAAGUGGGCCGCGGAGCACGCGCGAGCCCGCCCACUGCCCGGCCCGCGCGCCUGUGCCGGAAGCCUCCCGGGCUGCGCGGAGCCGCGCGCGUGCGCGGAGCGUAGCUUGCCCCGCCUCUGUCCGGUGGGCGCUGCCAAACGCUGUCCAGUCAGCGUUUAUGGACCCGAGCGGAGUGGAUUGUCAGUGUGUUUUUAACAACGGGCUUGCGGAGAUUUUGAAGCGGCAGAGAAACGUCACAACCACGGAUGUGAGGGCGAUGAGUUGCGCUGCGCUUUGCCGUCCGCCGCAGCCAGUCUGAGGGCGCGGGUACGCGGAGGGCAGCACCUGGAGAUGCUCGCAUAAAACGUCGGCGCCGCCAGUGCGGCUUCCCGACCCGUGUUGCUCACGGCCCUUUCGCACGCUGUCUAGAAGAUGGGGCAAGAAAAAAGGUCUUGUUCGGUACACCGGCAAGCCCAAAAAGAACGGGGCCUCGCUUCCAGGAAAACCAUCUUAACACAGAUUACAAGCUCCUUUUGUAGUUAGGAGGACAUGACUGAGGUAACCUGGUAGCUGGUCAUCUCUGCUCUGCAGCGCUUUUUCAGGGGUGGUAGUGGUACUAGUGAUUGAAUUGAGGACCUCUUACCUGCUGAGCAAGUCUCUGCCACCAAGCUCCACCCCAGUCCCUUUCACUUUUAGUUAGAGUCUCGCUAAAUUGCUCAAGCUCGUCUUGAACUUGUCGUGCACAGAGCUUUCUGCGUCAGUCUUCGGAGACGAGACCAGGGACUUCCGCAAACCAACCCUGUGCUGCUAAUUUAAACAAUUAAGGAAGACUGUACUCCGGGAGCCACCAGCCAAUAACUACACUCUGUUUAAAAAGGGGAAAACGUGAAACAAGACACUUGUAGUUCUAUAUUAGACUUUCCUAGAACUUGACUUGAGGGAGAAUGUUGAGAACCUAGAAGGAAUUCCACAAUAGACUGUUUAUCAUUUACUGGAACGCGUGUUUCAAGUUAAGAAGUGCCUGUGCUAAAAUGUAUUUGUGUGUGAUUUAGUUUCCUAGCACUGCCACUACAAAUUGCCACAAAUUGGGUAUCUUAAAAUAACAGAAAGAGGGGCUGGGGAUUUAGUUCAGCGGCAAAGUGCCUGCCUGGCAAGCGCAAGGUCGUGAGUUCGAUUCCUGGUACCGGAAGAAAAAUAAAGCAAAAGAAAUGAAACAACAGAAAGUUACCCUCUCAUACUUUUGCAGCCCAGAAGUCUAAUAGGUGGCCUUCUUGGGUUUCAAAGGGAGAAUUUUUCCCUCGCUCCUGGUAGUUGCCUAUAAUUCUUGGGGAUUCUGUGGAAAUCUCUAAUCUCUGGUUCUAUCUUCACUUGAUGUUUUCCAUAUGUCCAGACUUUUUUCUUUCCAGAAGUGUACCAGCGAUAACCCUAAUUUAUCCUGAGCCCAUUAUAACCUGACUGCAUGUGCGAAGACCUUAUUUCCCAAUAAGACUACAAUCACCCAUAGCAGAGGUUAGGACCUCAACAAUACUUGUGGAGGAAACAAACUUAACCCACCACUGAACUUUACAGAAAUAAGUGUAAAGUGUCAAAAUGCUUAAGCAAAGAAAAUACAACUUCAACAGUAGGAGUGGUGGCCCACAAACUAUAUUUUUAACUGCUGCUUCUUUCUUGCAGGACUUUUAUUUUAGGAAGGAGUAUUGCUGUGCUACCUAUGUUGCUUAGGCAAGCUUCAGACUCAGGAUUCUCUUGCCUUCAUUUCCAAGGUAGCUGGAACCAUAACACCACCAUGCCAGGCCAAUGUUUGUCAUCAUUUUUUAUGGUGCCAGGGGUCAAACUCAGGACUUUGCACAAACUAGGCAAAAGCUCUGCUACUGUGCCACAUCCCCAGCUGUUUUGUUGUCUUUUAAUCUUAAGGACUUGUCACCAUAGAAUGCAUCACUGAAAGGAAAGCUGUGGGGUUCAGGAUCUCUUAAGAAAUGUACUUGAUGCUACAACAAAUAAUAAUUGGGAGAUGGGGCUCCUUGUCUGGGAAACACCAUGGAUCACUGCUGCACACAGCAGCAGCAAGCACUACACACCUAGAAAGAGGGCUCUGGGAACACCCUGGUUCGAGUCCCCAGGCUUUCCUCUGGAAGGGAAAGCGUGAAUUAGCAGAGGUAUGUGUGCUACAUAGAUGCGUCUCUGCAAUAUUUUUAAAGAUUGGUCUUACUUGAAGAAAAUGAAAUGGACAUUUCUGGAUUAUUUUUAACUUAUAAAUCUAUGAAACUGUAGUACAAGGUCUCAGAACGUAGCCUGUAGUUAUUGUUAGGGUGAAACAAGUAUAGAGUCGUAUGAUUGUUAGGAUAACGCAAAUUUGUUGUAUAGAAGCUGCAUGAGAUAUUAGUCUUGGUUUAUCUGAGCCUUAAUCCAGCAGCUCACUUCAGACAUCUGUCCUUCUGUCCCCCGACACAGAGACAUUUACUGAUGGUCUUCUUUACAGAACACUACUUACUCCUCAGCUGGAUUUUCUGGAAUUGUGUUAAUAAUUCCAUGAAAUACAUAAUAAAAAUACAUAAUUCACAUGUAUUUCAUGGUGCUUUGUAAGGAUUUAAUAAGACUGCAAGUACAGUGCCUUAUACGUGAUGAGAGUUUCACAAAUGUCAGCUCUCCUAUUACUAGUGUUAUCCUUCCCAAACUGUAGUAAGAGAAUGGGAAGCCAUUCCUUCUUCUUUUUUUUUUUUGGUACCGGGAAUCAAACUCAGGACCUUGCGCUUGCCAGGCAGGCAGGAGCUUGUGCCACUGAGCUAAAUCCCCGGGCCUUUUUGCGGGGGGUUGGGGAGAGCCAUGCCGUAUCACCGCAAAAAAAGUUUAGAACAAGAGUAAAAUGGGCUUUUCCUAUUAUGUUCAUUUUGAAAAGAUAAUGCUCACACUUGAGAAAUCACUACGUGAAGAAGUACUCAUUCUUGUCCCCUUUUGUCCAGCUCCCAGCCUGCUGUGCCACUCACGCUGGAUGUCACCUCACCUCAUUCAAAGUGUCUGUCACCUCUGCACUCUUCCCUGACCACUCUGCCCGAAAAGCACACCCUCCCUGUUUUCUUAUCCUGCUUUCCUUUCCUCUGUAUCUGUUAUCACUACCUGAUGUUUUACUAUUAAUAAAGCACAUAAUACAUUCACUGUAUAUAAUUUAUAGAUAAAAUAGGUGAGCAAUUAUAUAUCUAUAAAUAUAUUCUAUAAAUAGAUCUAUAACUUUGUCUCCUACUGUGGACUAAAACGCGUAAAGGCAGAGACUUCUGUGUUUGGUUCAGUGCUCUGGCCUCUAGUAUUUUGAACAAUUCCUGGACCACAGCAUGUGCUCAGGGAGUAUUUAUUGAAUUAGUUUGUAAUUCUGCCAGCCUAGUAAAUUGUCACAAUCUUUCUGUGAGUAAAUUUGGCUAUAUAUUCCGAGAGCUAGAAUUUUUCACAGUGAUACUUACUUCUUUUUUUCUUCUGGUACAAGGAAUCAAACUCAUGACCUUGCACUUGCCAGGCAGGUGCUGUGCUGCUGAGCUAAAUCCCCAGCCCCCACAGUGAUAGUUAUUGUGAGAUAUUGCACAGGUAAACUAUUUACCUGUACUGUAUGAGCUCUGAACUCUGUCCUAAGAAAAUAAAAGAUUCAUUCAAGAAAUUUUUUAUUGAGCAUCUACUAUAUGACACCCUCCUCAAUUGUACUACAAGAUAUAGAUAAAAGCAGGACAUAGCAAAUAAAAACAUGAACAAGAUUUUUAUUUUAAUAUAUACAAAAUGUUUAGCGCAGGAUAAAAGCAGCCUAAAUUCCAACAAUAGGGAAUUGGUUAAGUCCAGUUUUGCUGUAUGUAUAAUAAAAUUGUGAUUGGAAAAACUACGUUGAGUCUACUUUUUUUUUUUUUUUGGUUUUGGUUUUGGUUUUUCUCCAGUACCAGGGAUCAAACUCACGACCUUGCGCUUGCCAGGCAGGUGCUGUGCCGCUGAGCUAAAUCCCCAGCCCCUGUUG
ensembl:lincRNA uncharacterized LOC106148635